AGUGAACGCUGGCGGUGGGCCUAACACAUGCAAGUCGAACGGCAGCACAGUAAGAGCUUGCUCUUACGGGUGGCGAGUGGCGGACGGGUGAGGAAUACAUCGGAAUCUACUUUUUCGUGGGGGAUAACGUAGGGAAACUUACGCUAAUACCGCAUACGACCUACGGGUGAAAGCAGGGGAUCUUCGGACCUUGCGCGAUUGAAUGAGCCGAUGUCGGAUUAGCUAGUUGGCGGGGUAAAGGCCCACCAAGGCGACGAUCCGUAGCUGGUCUGAGAGGAUGAUCAGCCACACUGGAACUGAGACACUGUCCAGACUCCUACGGGAGGCAGCAGUGGGGAAUAUUGGACAAUGGGCGCAAGCCUGAUCCAGCCAUACCGCGUGGGUGAAGAAGGCCUUCGGGUUGUAAAGCCCUUUUGUUGGGAAAGAAAAGCAGCAGGUUAAUACCCCGCUGUUCUGACGGUACCCAAAGAAUAAGCACCGGCUAACUUCGUG
rnacentral:rRNA from 1 species